rnacentral:rRNA from 1 species
CCCGUAGGUGAAAAUAAGAUAUCUUUGUGGCGAUCAUUCUCAAGUAGGGCGGGACCUGAGAAAUCCCGUUUGAAUCUGGGGCCACUAUAGCUCCAAGGCUAAACAUUUUUGAUGAUCGAUAGCGAACUAGUACCGUGAGGGAAAGGUGAAAAGUACCCCGAAAGGGGGGUUAAAAGAUCCUGAAACCGUGCGCAGACAAAGAGUCAACGCCGUGCAUGGCACGGAAAUCCUAAAUUCUAAAUCCUAAACUCUAAACAAUAUCCAACUUCAAAUGACUGAAAUUCAAAACCGACAGGAGUGUUUUGAAUUUGGAAAUUUUAAUUUGUGAUUUGUUUGGGAUUUGUGAUUUGGUUUUUGGAAUUUCCGUGCUGUGCACGGUUAUGGCGUGCUUUUUGCAGAACGAGCCAACGAGUUAGUUCUAUGCGGCCCAUCUAAGCAGUUAAUAGCUGCGGAGAUAUAGUGAAAGCGAGGCUUAACGGCCGAAUUAUGGUCGCAUGGACUAGACCCGAAGCCGGGCGAGCUACACAUGAGCAGGGUGAACCCCGAGUAAUAUCGGGGGGAGGCCCGAACCCACUAGUCGUACGACUCUAGGGGAUGACUUGUGUGUAGAGGAGAAAUUCCAAUCGAGCUCGGCGAUAGCUGGUUCUUUCCGAAAUAGCUCUAGGGCUAGCGUCAAGCCAUUGUCAACGAAAGGUAGAGCUACUGAAAAAGCAGCCGUGUCUUCGGACUAGGCUGUUUUAUCAAACUCCGAAUGUUCGUUGAUUUACCUUGACAGUCAGAACUUGGGCGCUAAGGUCCAAGCUCAAAAGGGAAACAGCCCAGACCGCCGUCUAAGGCCCCUAAAUCUAUGCUAAGUGGUAAAGGUAGUAAGAUUGCUUAAACAGCUAGAAGGUUGGCUUAGAAGCAGCCAUCCUUUAAAGAGUGCGUAAUAGCUCACUAGUCAAGCGAUUUUGCGUCGAAGAUGUAACGGGGCUAAGCAUAGUGCCGAAGACGCGGAUGCCAGUGUUUUGCACUGGCGUGGUAGGAAAGCGUUCCUUGUGCGUUGAAGCCAAAGGCGUGAGCCAUGGUGGAGCGCAGGGAAGUGAGAAUGUUGGCAUGAGUAACCGCAAUAUAAGUGAGAUUCUUAUACGUCGAAAGUCCAAGGUUUCCUGGGCAAUGAUAAUCACCCCAGGGUUAGGCGAUCCUAAGGCGAGUCCCGGCUUCGGUCGGGGGUAGUCGAUGGUUAGCAGGUUAAUAUUCCUGCCCUGCCAUAUUGUUUGAUGGAGUGACGCAUUCCAGUAGUUUUUGCCGGUGAUUGGAUUCCGGUAAGCUUGUUGAGGUGGUCAGACAGGAAAAUCCGUUUGACAACACACCAAGACAAGUUUCGAAUUCCGAGUGAUCGGGAGAAGAAAAAUGAGCGGGGUGUCAAGAAAAACUUCUAAAAUUAGCAAUAUGGCAUCCGUACCACAAACCGACACAGGUGGACAGGGCGAGUAGCCUAAGACGAAUGGGAUAACCCUUGUUAAGGAACUCGGCAAAACAACGUCCGUAACUUAGGGAUAUGGACUGCCCGCCGCAAGGUGGGCCGCAGUUAAAGAUACCAAGCGACUGUUUAUCAAAAACACAGCUCUCUGCUAACCCGUAAGGGGAUGUAUAGGGGGUGACGCCUGACCAGUGCUGGAACGUUAACGGGAGCGGUGCAAGCCAAUCCCCGAAGCGCCAGUGAACGUCAGCGAUAACUAUAAUCGUUCUAAGGUUGAGAUCGCCUUCUUACAAUUCAAGAAGAUGAUUUCAAGGACUGGAACGAUUAUGGUGAGUGGGAUAGACUUUGAAGAUCAUAAGGAAUAGUAGUUGCUUAAUUCUGAUGUAAUAAUUAGAAUUGUCCUAAAAUAUUCAACUGUAUGCUGGGAACUCUGGUGAAUCUGGAGCUACUAUGGUAUAAUUGUUCCAUAGAUUAUUAAGGACAAAUUAUGCCAAGUAAAAAAGCUGCCAGUGCAGACAAUCAGCAGGAAAGACUAAAAUUGGUUGGCUGGGUGAUUGGUUAUAUUGACGGAGAAGGAUGUUUCUCGGUAAGUCUUUUUAGAAACAAAACCACAAAAUUUGGGUGGCAAGUUUUUCCGGAAUUUGUGGUGACACAAGGAGAAAAAAGCAAAAACUCGCUUGAAAUUUUGAUGAAAUUUUUUAAGUGUGGAAAAGUUUUUGUGAACAAGCGAUAUGAUAAUCACAAAGAAAAUAUCUAUCGUUAUUGUGUCAGGUCUAAAAAAGAUUUAACUGAAACAAUCAUUCCGUUUUUCAAAGAGAACCAACUCAAAACAGCCAAAAAGAAAGAUUUUGAAAUCUUUGCUAAAAUUGUUUCAAUGAUGAAUGAAAACAAGCAUUCAGAAUUGGAUGGACUAAAAAAAAUCGCAAAGAUGAUUGAAAAAAUGAAUCAGAAAAAAUCUUCCAAAUUUUUAGAAUCCUCAGAGACUACAAGUUGAAUUCACCGAUAACGAUAAGGUGAAAAAAUAUAGUCCGUUCUCUUGGGCGACCAAGAGCUAACAUAAAAGAGCGAAAUUCCUUG